CCCAGGGCUUACGCCCUGGGCUAAACUCUUCCGCCCCUUCGGGGCU
rfam:Chloroflexi bacterium 13_1_40CM_55_7 13_1_40cm_scaffold_2856, whole genome shotgun sequence.